UACAGAGGUCUCAAGCGUUGUUCGGAUUCAUUGGGCGUAAAGGGUGCGUAGGCGGCGCGGUAAGUCGGGUGUGAAAUCUCGGAGCUUAACUCCGAAACUGCAUUCGAUACUGCCGUGCUUGAGGACUGGAGAGGAGACUGGAAUUACGGUGUAGCGGUGAAAUGCGUAGAUAUCGUAAGGAAGACCAGUGGCGAAGGCGGGUCUCUGGACAGUUCCUGACGCUGAGGCACGAAGGCCAGGGAGCAAACGGG
rnacentral:rRNA from 1 species